rnacentral:lncRNA from 1 species
CACAGAGUUAAGGGAAAUGAUUCAGUUCUCAUUUGCAUCAGAGCAAUGAACUUCAGAGGGGGCUGGAGCCAUCUACCCUGACCUCGACAAGGAGUUAAGAGAACAACGGUGUAAUGCCCAGAAAGAUAAGAGGAGUAUCUUUAGGACAUUUUGGUAUCUCCAUCCAUCGGAUCAGGCCAUCUAAGAAAAGGCUGUGUCACACAGAGGGUGCUUCUAGACAAAGCUCCUAGACAAGUCUCCAGUCUCCCCAGCAGCUUGCCUUCCCAGCUCCUCCCAGCUGGGGCUCUGAAAUCCGCUGAAUCUCACCAGAGGGCAAGGAGAAUGGAAUUGAAGACUAAUAUACCGAGGACUUGAAAAUGGAACGUAGCAUAUGGAAAUUUUGGAUGCGAAGAGAAUGGUCGUUGCUGAGAAAAUAGUCUGAUCUGCUCCAGAAGGCUGCAUGCCAUGACUGGGAGGGGUGAUCUGCAAGAUGGCAUCUUCACAGGACUUCAGGCCCAGGGACUGACAUCAGGGGAUACCCAGGACAACCUCCCAGAGCCAGAACCAAGAUAGAGGUCCUCGCUUUCCUGACUUCUGGGCAUGCCAGGCUGCGUGGAUGGAGUGCUUCUCUUACCUCUUCUGGUAGCAAUGCUAUUUUAACUGGAUUUUUCUUGACUGUGGACACUGAAAAGCUGAGGAAGGGGUGGCGGAACUGAUUUGCUAUAGGCCGGGACUCCAGAAGAAAGGUCCUGGAGUAUCUCUGGCUGACUUCAAACUUGCUAUGUAACUGAGGAUUAACUGGAACUUCUGACCUUCCCAGUUCUACCUUCCAGUUCUGGAAUUGCUGGCACAUGCCCCCAUCCUGGGUUUGUGCAAUGCUGGGGACCAGCCCAGGACAUGCUAGGCAAGCACUUACCAACCGAGUUACAGACUUAGCCCCAGACCUUUCAGUUUUGAUGAGACCCCCGUUAACUUUUUCUUUCAUUGCCUGUGUAAAGCAUAAUGCCUUUUGAGUGUCCAGUAAGGUAUUGACCCUUUCAGAGUGUGAGUGGCGGGGGUCAGUGACCAAGGUGCCUCUUCUUUUCCCACUGUAAUAACUAGACAUGGAUAUGAGGAGUUCUGAUGACUGUGGGGGAGGACAUCUGACCUUCUGGUCUUAAGGAGGCUGUUUAAAUCCCAACAGAAGACAGACAUCCCAUGCUCACAUCAAUGACUUGCUUAUACCCCUGGACUGACCAUGAUGCAUGUACUCAACAAUAACAAGGAUGGGAAGGAAAUAUGGAAGUAUGGAUUCAGUUUUGUGAUGGGGAGGCAACUCUGACAUGAUGGCUAAUGGACAGUUUCAAGGCUCAGCUCAUGCUGUGGACGUACCUGUGUGCAUGUCCACACACGCUUACAGGUGUGUGUGCUGUUGUGUGAGAGUGUACACAGAGGCCAGAAACCAACAACUGGUGUCUUCCUUGGUUGUUUUCCACUGUAUAUUUUGAAACAGGGGUUCCCCCUGGAUCUAGGGCUUGACAUUUAGGUCAGACUUGCUGGCCAAUGAGCUCCAGGGAGCUUCCUGCAUUGUCUGAUGCUCUGAACAGAGUUGGCUAUUGUGAGACUUUAGUCUGUCGCAACCACUGGUUCCAUUCUCCCAGGUCUCAGUGCUCUAGAGAGAUGACACCACCACACUCAGAUUUUCCAAGAGUGCUGGGGAUCCAAAUCCAGGCCCUCAUGCUUGUGUGACAGGCACUUCAUUGACCGAGUGAUCUCCGCCCUUGAUUGCAGGACCCCAGUGAGGAAGAUUACUCGAUGCUUUCUGCCUUGGUUUUCUCAGAGACAAUGUGGAAGUUGGGUUGUUGAAGCAUUUUGUGACUUAAUGCACAUAAAGUUCUUGAAAUAGUGCUUGGCAUAUUGCAAGCUUCUGACAAAUGUUCUCAGCGGAUUAAUGAAUUCCAAUAUGCAAAGCAUGUACCUGCUGCAGCCAGCAUUAUUCCCAGCUCACGACAUUCAAAUGCAAGCUCCUAAAAGAAUUUUACAGAAACCAAGUACAGACCAAACAACAUAUUUCCAUGGGCCAGACUCAGCUCUGGGACUGCCAGUUUGUGAUUGAACAGAAACCACAGAACUUUGUCAAGCCUCCCAGACAGAGCUUCCUGCAGCUUUAAUUGGGACCUUGGAUUUCUGGUUUGGCUCCUCACACGGCUGAACUCACUCACUUAUUGGGGUGGGACGGCUGUGGAAUCACAAUGAUGAAGCACUGGGCACACUUGGAUAGGAGAAGAGUGGUAACUUCACAAAUUCUCUUCUUUUGCUAUUGAUGGUGGCUCAAGAUGUAUAGCACUUAUGUUUCCUGAAGCAAAUGUAGCUCUGAUUUGUUUUGCAUAUCUGAUGCAGCCCUUUCGUGCAUUAAUACAUCUCAUAUUUGAUCAUUAUGGGGAGAGAAAAAUGAGAAGGACUUUAGAGCUUUUUUUAUUCUGACUAUAAAAAUGAAAAAUACCUAUCACAAACAAUUCAGGAAAAGUAUGGAAGUGAAAAAAAUGAAAGAAAAAAUGUCUCUGAAUCUGUCAGCCAGAGAUAAAUAUGGCUCCCAUUCUGAUGAAUAGCCUCCUGGUUAUUUAUUUGUCCAUAUACCAGCAUCUAUCUGAAAAAGCAAGAAUGAACACCGCAUCUUCUCCAGAGCCUUUUGGAGGCCUUUGAAAUGCUACCAUGGCCCCAUGAGCAUUUCAUAAAAUUUUUUUUUAGCAUAUAGUAACCAUACAUAAAAUGAGUUUUGGGCUGGAGAGAUGGCCCAGUGGUUAACAGCACUGACUGCUCUUCCAGAGAACCUGGGUUCAAUUGCCAGCACCCAUAUGGCAGCCCACAACUGUCUGUAACUCCAGUUCCAGAGGAUCCGGCACCCUCACACAGACAUACAUGCAGGCAAAAUAACACCAAUGCACAUGAAAGAAAUAAAUCUUAAAAAUUAAAACAAAAGUUUAAGGAAAAAAAUGAGUUUCAUUUGACCCGUGCAUACACAUACACAAUGUAUUUUGAUCAUAUUACUGGUCCCCCUCACACUCUACUGAUCUCCUUUUCUCAACUACCCUCCCUUCUAUUUUCACGUCCUUGGAUUUUUUUUUUUCAACACACUCUUAUUUUAGAGUUUGGGGGUGUGUGCACCAUGGAGCACUCGUGGAGGUCAGAGAACAACUUACUGGAGUCAGUUUUCUCUUCGACCACAUGGGUUUCUAGGGCAGAACUUAAAUCAGUGCUUUUACCCACUGAGCCAUCUUGCUCCCUCUCCCUCUUUAAUGACACGAUGAAUUUCUUCAUGGCUGUUUACAGGAACAUGACUCCUUAGCAGUAGUUACACCACUCAAGAAAAAUCUCACCCCCUUCUUCAUCAAACAUGAACUUCUAAUAAAUCCUCAGGGAAGAAUGGGAUCCUGUCAGUCCCUUCAAUGACCAUCGCCCCUCCCGUCCUCUGUUCCCUCCCUCCCCCUCUCCCCUCCCUACUUCCCUUCUUUUUCUUUUCUUUUUUUUUCUUUUCAAGACAGGGUUUCUCUGUAGCUCUUUGGUUGUCCUGGAAUUCUCUUUGUAGACCAGGCAGGCCCUAAACUCACAAAGAUCCGCCUGCUUUUGCCUCCCGAGUGCUGGGAUUAAAGGUGUGCGCCACCAUGCCCGGCUCAGCAUUUUCUAGAUUGAUUUAUUGAAGUGAUGAAAAGACCAUUUGCCCCCCUCCUCACUAUUUAUAUGUCUCUGUAUAGACUGCUGCCAGGUUUAUUACCAAUUUAUUUUAAAAAUUCCCUAACUUCUGUCUUUUUUUCUUAUUUUGUCUCGUCUUUUUUUUUAAAUUAAAAGUUUCACUACUAUUAUUUUACUUUAUGAGAAUGACUACGGGUAUUUUGCCUACAUAUAUGUCUGAGCACUGCAGCCCUUGGAGGCCAGAAGUAUGCAACUGGGGUUUCAGACAGUUGUGAGCAGCUAUGUAGAUGCUGGGGAUUGAAUCCAGGUCCUCUAGAAGAGCAGCCAGUGCUUUUAACCUCUGGGCCAUCUCUGCAGCUUCCUUCUUAUUUCCAUUAGGUCUUAGUUGUUCUUUUUCUAAGUUUUUUAUUAAACGUUUAGUCAUAUGUUGAAACAACCUAAAUGGAAUCCCGCUUUCUGACCCUGCUUUUGUGACCAGAAGGUGAAUAAAUCUCUACUGAAUGAACCGCUUUCUGUUUUGUUGGC